rnacentral:rRNA from 1 species
AGGAGUGAUGCCUGCCCAGUGACACUGUYCAACGGCCGCGGUAUCCUGACCGUGCGAAGGUAGCGUAAUAACUCGUCUUUUAAAUAAAGACUAGAAUGAAUGGCUAAACGAGGUUCUAUCUGUCUCUUACAAAUAAUCAGUGAAAUUGAUCCCCCCGUGCAAAAGCGAGAAUAAUCCCAUAAGACGAGAAGACCCUGUGGAACUUUAAGUAUAAGUCAUCACCAUUAACCAACCCCUCAACAGAAUAAUACUACUCAUAACCCUCCUGACUUUCAACUUUCGGUUGGGGCGACCUCGGAGAAAAAUAAAACCUCCGAAAAUUACUACUAAGAUAGUACAAACCUAAGUGCCUACGGCAAAACGAUCCAAUAUACUUGAUCAACGAACCAAGCUACCCCAGGGAUAACAGCGCAAUCCCCUCUUAGAGUCCAUAUCAAUGACGGGGGUUUACGACCUCGAUGUUGGAUCAGGACACCCUAAUGGUGCAGCCGCUAUUAAGGGUUC